rnacentral:rRNA from 1 species
AUUGAACGCUGGCGGCAGGCCUAACACAUGCAAGUCGAGCGGUAGCACAGAGAGCUUGCUCUCGGGUGACGAGCGGCGGACGGGUGAGUAAUGUCUGGGAAACUGCCUGAUGGAGGGGGAUAACUACUGGAAACGGUAGCUAAUACCGCAUAACGUCGCAAGAUCAAAGUGGGGGACCUUCGGGCCUCAUGCCAUCAGAUGUGCCCAGAUGGGAUUAGCUAGUAGGUGGGGUAACGGCUCACCUAGGCGACGAUCCCUAGCUGGUCUGAGAGGAUGACCAGCCACACUGGAACUGAGACACGGUCCAGACUCCUACGGGAGGCAGCAGUGGGGAAUAUUGCACAAUGGGCGCAAGCCUGAUGCAGCCAUGCCGCGUGUGUGAAGAAGGCCUUCGGGUUGUAAAGCACUUUCAGCGGGGAGGAAGGCGGUGAGGUUAAUAACCUCAUCGAUUGACGUUACCCGCAGAAGAAGCACCGGCUAACUCCGUGCCAGCAGCCGCGGUAAUACGGAGGGUGCAAGCGUUAAUCGGAAUUACUGGGCGUAAAGCGCACGCAGGCGGUCUGUCAAGUCGGAUGUGAAAUCCCCGGGCUCAACCUGGGAACUGCAUUCGAAACUGGCAGGCUAGAGUCUUGUAGAGGGGGGUAGAAUUCCAGGUGUAGCGGUGAAAUGCGUAGAGAUCUGGAGGAAUACCGGUGGCGAAGGCGGCCCCCUGGACAAAGACUGACGCUCAGGUGCGAAAGCGUGGGGAGCAAACAGGAUUAGAUACCCUGGUAGUCCACGCCGUAAACGAUGUCGAUUUGGAGGUUGUGCCCUUGAGGCGUGGCUUCCGGAGCUAACGCGUUAAAUCGACCGCCUGGGGAGUACGGCCGCAAGGUUAAAACUCAAAUGAAUUGACGGGGGCCCGCACAAGCGGUGGAGCAUGUGGUUUAAUUCGAUGCAACGCGAAGAACCUUACCUGGUCUUGACAUCCACAGAACUUUCCAGAGAUGGAUUGGUGCCUUCGGGAACUGUGAGACAGGUGCUGCAUGGCUGUCGUCAGCUCGUGUUGUGAAAUGUUGGGUUAAGUCCCGCAACGAGCGCAACCCUUAUCCUUUGUUGCCAGCGGUUAGGCCGGGAACUCAAAGGAGACUGCCAGUGAUAAACUGGAGGAAGGCGGGGAUGACGUCAAGUCAUCAUGGCCCUUACGACCAGGGCUACACACGUGCUACAAUGGCAUAUACAAAGAGAAGCGACCUCGCGAGAGCAAGCGGACCUCAUAAAGUAUGUCGUAGUCCGGAUUGGAGUCUGCAACUCGACUCCAUGAAGUCGGAAUCGCUAGUAAUCGUAGAUCAGAAUGCUACGGUGAAUACGUUCCCGGGCCU